AUAAAUUAAAGUAAAUAAUAAAGGGCGUAUGGUGGAUGCCUAGGCUCUCAGAGGCGAUGAAGGACGUGAUAAGCUGCGAAAAGCUCCGUUUAGGUGCAAAUAACCUUUGAUGCGGAGAUCUCCGAAU
rnacentral:rRNA from 1 species